rnacentral:misc_RNA from 1 species
UACGUAGGGAGCAAGCGUUAUCCGGAAUCACUGGGCGUACAGGGUGCGUAGGCGGGCUUGCAGGUCCGAUGUGAAAGCCCCGGGCUCAACCCGGGAAUUGCAUUGGAAACCGCAAGUCUUGAGGACCAGAGAGGGAGACACAAUUCGCAGUGUAGCGGUGAAAUGCGUAGAUAUUGCGAGGAAUACCAGUGGCGUAGGCGGUCUCCUGGAUGGUUUCUGACGCUGAGGCACGAAAGCGUGGGUAGCAAACGGG